rnacentral:rRNA from 1 species
UGUGAAGAAGGCCUUCGGGUUGUAAAGCACUUUCAGUCGUGAGGAAGACGGCGUCGUUAAUAGCGGCAUUGUUUGACGUUAGCGACAGAAGAAGCACCGGCUAACUCCGUGCCAGCAGCCGCGGUAAUACGGAGGGUGCGAGCGUUAAUCGGAAUUACUGGGCGUAAAGCGCAUGCAGGUGGUUUGUUAAGUCAGAUGUGAAAGCCCGGGGCUCAACCUCGGAAUAGCAUUUGAAACUGGCAGACUAGAGUACUGUAGAGGGGGGUAGAAUUUCAGGUGUAGCGGUGAAAUGCGUAGAGAUCUGAAGGAAUACCGGUGGCGAAGGCGGCCCCCUGGACAGAUACUGACACUCAGAUGCGAAAGCGUGGGGAGCAAACAGGAUUAGAUACCCUGGUAGUCCACGCCGUAAACGAUGUCUACUUGGAGGUUGUGGC